GCCAGCAUCCAUAUCACCCUGCAACUCACUGAAGCUCAGCAGGUGUGAGCCUGGUCAGUACCUGGAUGGGAGGCCUCCUGGGAAAGCUAAGGCUGCUGCUGGAA
rnacentral:rRNA from 1 species